rnacentral:ncRNA from 1 species
GAAUUGCUAAAAUUUCUACAUGGUUACGAAAUGACACCAUUAGGAAUAAAUCUUGUGGCCUAAUUUGACUCAACUCAGGGAAACUUACUGAGUCCAAACAUAGUAAGGAUUGAAAGACUGAGAGCUCUUUCUUGAUUUUCUGGGUGGUGGUGCACGGUUGUUCUUAGUUGGUGGAGAGAUUUGUCUAGUUAAUUUUGUUAACAAACGAGACCUCAGCCUGCUACCUAGCUAUGCAAGGGUGAUCUUCCAUGGCUAGCUUCUUACAAGGACUAUGGCUGCUUAAGCUAAGAAAGUUUGAGGCAAUAACAGGUUUGUGAUGCCCUUAAAUGUUUGGGGCCACACGAGUGCUACACAGAUGUAUUCAACGAGUUUAUAGCCUUGAUCGACAAGCUCAGGUAAUCUUUGAAAUUUCAUCGUGAUAGGGAUAAAUCAUUGCAAUUGUUGGUUCUCAAUGAGGAAUUCCUAGUAAGUGCGAGUCAUCAGCUUGCGUUGAUUAUGUCCCUUCCCUUUGUAAACAUUACUUGUCACUCCUACCAAUUGAAUGGUCUGGUGAAGUGUUCAAAUUACGGUGGUGUAGGCAGUUCGCCGCCCAAGACGUCGCGAAAAGUCCAUUGAACCUUAUCAUUUAGAGGAAAGAAAAGUCGUAACAAGGUUUCCAUAGGUGAACUUGUGAAAG